rnacentral:rRNA from 1 species
UAUCAUUAAGUGAAUACAUAGCUUAAUGAGGGGAACUCAGGGAACUGAAACAUCUAAGUACCUGAAGGAAGAGAAAGAAAUUCGAUUCCGUAAGUAGCGGCGAGCGAACGCGGAUUAGCCCAAACCAAUAAAGUUUUCUUUAUUGGGGUUGCGGACAUAUCAUAACGAAGAGGUAUCGUAAUUGAAGAGGUUUGGAAAGACCCACCACAGAAGGUAAUAGUCCUGUAUGUUAAACGAGAAGACUUCAGAUAUGAUCCAGAGUACCACGGGACACGUGAAACCCUGUGGGAAGCAGGAGGGACCACCCUCCAAGGCUAAAUACUACCUAGUGACCGAUAGCGUAUAGUACCGUGAGGGAAAGGUGAAAAGAACCCCGGGAGGGGAGUGAAAUAGAACCUGAAACCCUGCACUUACAAGCUGUGGAAGCACAUUUCUUGUGUGACCGCGUACUUUUUGUAGAACGGGCCAACGAGUUACGUUAAGUAGCAAGGUUAAGCACUUAAGGUGCGGAGCCGUAGCGAAAGCGAGUUUUAACUGAGCGUUCAGUUACUUGACGUAGACCCGAAACCGGGCGACCUACCCAUGAGCAGGAUGAAGCGAAAGUAAAAUUUCGUGGAGGUCCGAACCCACGAGCGUUGAAAAGCUCGGGGAUGACUUGUGGGUAGCGGUGAAAUUCCAAUCGAGCCCGGAGAUAGCUGGUUCUCCCCGAAAUAGCUUUAGGGCUAGCCUCAAGGUGAGAGAUACGGAGGUAGAGCACUGAAUGUCCUAGGGGGUAUUGCACCUACCGAAGACUAUCAAACUCCGAAUGCCGUCAUCUUAUACUUGGGAGUCAGACUGUGGGUGAUAAGAUUCAUAGUCGAAAGGGCAACAGCCCAGAUCGUCAGCUAAGGUCCCUAAAUGUAAGUUAAGUGGUAAAGGAUGUGGGAUUGCACAGACAACCAGGAUGUUGGCUUAGAAGCAGCCACUCAUUCAAAGAGUGCGUAAUAGCUCACUGGUCGAGUGAUCCUGCGCCGAAGAUUUCCGGGGCUAAAACUUACUACCGAAGCUACGGCAUCAGUAAUGAUGGGUAGGGGAGCUUCCCAUACGGGUUGAAGCAUGACCGUAAGGACAUGUGGACAGUAUGGGAGUGAGAAUGUUGGCAUGAGUAGCGAGAUGUGGGUGAGAAUCCCACAGGCCGUAAACCCAAGGUUUCCAGGGGAAGGUUCGUCCGCCCUGGGUUAGUCGGGACCUAAGCUGAGGCCGAAAGGCGUAGGUGAUGGACAACAGGUUGAUAUUCCUGUACUACCGAUAACCGUUUGAGAGAAGGGAUGACACAGUAGGAUAAGCUAAGCACACUGUUGGUUAUGUGUGCCCAAGCAUUGAGGCAGUCAAAGUAGGCAAAUCCGCUUUGAUAAUGCUGGGAUGUGAUGGGGAGCGAAAUUUAGUAGCGAAGUAGCUGAUUUCACACUGUCAAGAAAAGUCUCUAUCGAGGUUAAAGGUACCCGUACCGCAAACCGACACAGGUGGGUGAGGAGAGUAUCCUAAGGCCAGCGAGAGAACUGUUGUUAAGGAACUCGGCAAAAUGACCCCGUAACUUAGGGAUAAGGGGUGCCACCAUCAGGUGGCCGCAGAGAAUAGGCCCAAGCGACUGUUUACCAAAAACAUAGGUUUCUGCUAAGUCGCAAGACGAUGUAUAGGAGCUGACGCCUGCCCGGUGCUGGAAGGUUAAGGGGAUCUGUUAGAGCAAUCGAAGCAGUGAACUUAAGCCCCAGUAAACGGCGGCCGUAACUAUAACGGUCCUAAGGUAGCGAAAUUCCUUGUCGGGUAAGUUCCGACCCGCACGAAAGGCGUAACGAUUUGGGCACUGUCUCAACAACAGACUCGGUGAAAUUGUAAUUCCGGUGAAGAUGCCGGAUACCUGCGACAGGACGGAAAGACCCCAUGGAGCUUUACUGUAGCUUGACAUUGGGUCUUGGUACUACAUGUACAGGAUAGGUGGGAGGCUUUGAAACCAGGACGCCAGUUUUGGCGGAGCCAUCCUUGGGAUACCACCCUUGUAGUACUGGGACUCUAACCAUAGGCCAUGAAUCUGGUCUUGGGACACUGUCAGGGGGCAGUUUGACUGGGGCGGUCGCCUCCCAAAAGGUAACGGAGGCGCUCAAAGGUUCUCUCAGUACGGUCGGAAAUCGUACGUAGAGUGUAAAGGCAAAAGAGAGCUUGAUUGCAAGACAUACAGGUCGAGCAAGGAUGAAAAUCGGACUUAGUGAUCCGGUGGUUCUGCGUGGAAGGGCCAUCGCUCAACGGAUAAAAGCUACCCUGGGGAUAACAGGCUUAUCUCCCCCAAGAGUCCACAUCGACGGGGAGGUUUGGCACCUCGAUGUCGGCUCAUCACAUCCUGGGGCUGUAGUAGGUCCCAAGGGUUGGGCUGUUCGCCCAUUAAAGUGGUACGCGAGCUGGGUUCAGAACGUCGUGAGACAGUUCGGUCCCUAUCCGUCGCAGGCGUAGGAAAUUUGAGAAGACCUGUCCUUAGUACGAGAGGACCGGGAUGGACGUACCUCUGGUGUACCAGUUGUUCUGCCAAGGGCAUGGCUGGGUAGCUAUGUACGGAAUGGAUAAGCGCUGAAAGCAUCUAAGCGCGAAGCCAACUUCAAGAUAAGAUUUCCCACCGCAAGGGUAAGACCCCAGAAAGACUAUCUGGUUGAUAGGUCGAAGGUGUAAGUGCAGCAAUGUAUUUAGCUUAUCGAUACUAAUAGGUCGAGGACUUGACCAA